AUUGAACGCUGGCGGCAGGCCUAACACAUGCAAGUCGAGCGGAUGAAGGGAGCUUGCUCCUGGAUUCAGCGGCGGACGGGUGAGUAAUGCCUAGGAAUCUGCCUGGUAGUGGGGGAUAACGUCCGGAAACGGGCGCUAAUACCGCAUACGUCCUGAGGGAGAAAGUGGGGGAUCUUCGGACCUCACGCUAUCAGAUGAGCCUAGGUCGGAUUAGCUAGUUGGUGGGGUAAAGGCCUACCAAGGCGACGAUCCGUAACUGGUCUGAGAGGAUGAUCAGUCACACUGGAACUGAGACACGGUCCAGACUCCUACGGGAGGCAGCAGUGGGGAAUAUUGGACAAUGGGCGAAAGCCUGAUCCAGCCAUGCCGCGUGUGUGAAGUAGGUCUUCGGAUUGUAAAGCACUUUAAGUUGGGAGGAAGGGCAGUAAGUUAAUACCUUGCUGUUUUGACGUUACCAACAGAAUAAGCACCGGCUAACUUCGUG
rnacentral:rRNA from 1 species